CAUAUUUAUGGCCGGCUAUUACAUCUUCGAUUCCUCCUCCCCAAACGCAAGGCACUUUCCUUCUCCUCUCUCUCUCUCGACGCAUCCUCCAACUUGUGCACGUCUUCCUCCUCGAUCUCCAUGGCCGAGUUCCUUCGCCGGCCGGAGUUUUGUCUGCCCAUGCACAUAUACACAUCACGCGGAUCGAAGAUGGGAUGAACGUACGUGGAGCGGUGGAGGUGCAACCGGCAGGCACGGUGGCAUCUCGAUCGAUCUAUCGAUCGAUGAGGAGGCCACGGUGGCGUCUCGAUCGAUUCGCGACAUGUUCGCCGAGAUCUAUCGAUGAAGAGGCCGGAUCCCGACCGUGAUGCGCGUGCGGGCGUGCGGCGUCCUCGGCGGCGCCGAUAUGCUUUGUGGUCGGGUUAUCAAGUUUGUUUGCAUAUCUCGGAGCUGAUCCCUAUCAACGGAAUGGAUUUUUGUGUACAACGACGAGGGAGAAGAGAAUCAGAUAUCCAGUUCCGGUGGCGUUCAUGGCCGCGAGAUCCGGAUCCGGACUCCCCAUUCCACAGUAGCCCUAACUAGUUGUUCAAUACUCUAGAUCUGAAUCUUAUUAUCACCCUUAGCAUGUUUCCAUUAAAUUUUAGCAUCUCCAUGAGUCCAUGACCAUGCCGGUACGUGCAUGCAGUAGAGUGCCGCCGCCGGUGUACUGCAUGCGCAGUCGUGUUCCCAAUUUGCUCCACAUGUGCCUUGCUGCCAUUGAUGACCUCGACCACCACUGUGAGCUAGUAAUUCAAAAGGCAUCAGCAGUGCCGUGGUGGUGGGUGGUGUGAGCUUGAAAAGGCAAAUCUCUUCGUUAGAGGUGGGCAGCAUGCGUGAUUCCCAACGCUGGAGAAAUCUUACUGCGCAGACUCGAGAGACACCGAACGCUCGCACAACACUAAUUGGAUCACUGAAGUGCAUUUUUCAAACCGAGGAAGCAAUAAACUUUGGAUCUCUGAAGUGGCAAAAAUUAAAAAAAGAAUUCGUUCUCUCAAUCUCAGAAAGAGUCUUGGGCAAGCAAGGUUCUCUAGCUCAACCGGAUGUAUACAUGAACAACUACUCAAGGUUAGAAACCUACUUUUUUUUCCUCGAAAACACAUUAGAGAAUUGUUCCUCAUUUAAUUAAGAAGAAAGAUAAAGAAAACAAAUACAAAAGAGAGAAUAUAAACUGUCCUCCCCAUAAAUCACAACCACCCAUCCAUACACCAACUAAAAGGCGCGACGCACAAGACCAGCUCUAGCUGUCCAGAUUAAGCGACCUACAUAUAGAAGCUUAUGGAGGACUUGGGCUCCAGCUAAGCACCACAAAUUACUCUCAUUUUUUACUGCUCUAAUGCUUGUGCUAAUUUUGGUGCUAACUGCUACAGUUUUAUUCGCUCAACUAUAUCCAUGCUGGACUUUCUGCAGAAUCAUUGCCGUUCCCAUGUUUGUUGAAGAAACUAUCGGGACUAUGUUUCGCCAUACUCCUAUACACACGUUUUGCUGGAUAUAUAAGAAAAGGGACAUGUCAGUUAUCACUUUGCAAAGGAUUCAGAUGGUCUUCGGCCUAGGAAGUUUCCCAAACCUCUCAGUAAGGUUGUCAUGGUCUCUUGGCCACAUCCUACGAGGAAUCGGACUGCAGUCACUGGAGAGAUCUCACACCCGGGUCGACAGUUUGAUGAGUUAAGCCCAGUGAAUCCUUUGGGUUUUACAACGAUGCUGUCUGAGGUUCAAAUUCGAUCAGAACAAGGAAGCUCCGGGGGGCCUUUGCUGAAUGGUCAGGUUCAAGUUACGGGCCUCUUGCAUGGUGGCAAUGGCAGUUUUUCAUUCUUCAUUUCUCUUCCGAAUGGGGAUUCCUUGUAUGAUUUGCUGGCCCUGAUUCAACAUUGCUCCGCCCCCUUUACCUCUUUCUGGAUGCUGUGUGUAUGGGUGAACAUGCUGCGACUUUUUUGAGAUAGUUGCAACUUGCUCUACGUUUGCGAUGAUCUAUGAAUUUUUGGUAGAACCUACUUUACCUGUCUGUUCCUGGUAAAGAUGAGAAUUUUGUACCUAAGAUAUUUUCCUUAAGCUCAAAGAUUCCUGGUCCUGUUUGAAAAUGAUCGGAUACGGUUAUAUCUUAAAGAUGAGAAUUUUGUAUCUAAGAUAUUUUCCUUAAGCUCAAAGAUUCCUUUUCCUGUUUGAAAAUGAAGAUACGGUUAUAUUUGCCAAGUCCAA